UUGCUGUGAUGAAACCCAUGCGUGUCAGCUGACUGUGGCAGUCUGAGUGUGGGGCUGCUCCGGUGGGCGUUCUGCUGACCUGUGUCCUCCUCACACCCAGCACCCUCAGACAUGAUCUUACACACGACCUGAUGCAA
rnacentral:snoRNA from 1 species